rnacentral:rRNA from 1 species
GACGAACGCUGGCGGCGUGCCUAACACAUGCAAGUCGAACGGAACUUAUCGAAUGAAGUUUUCGGAUGGAUUUUGGUAAGUUUAGUGGCGGACGGGUGAGUAACGCGUGAGUAACCUGCCUUCAAGAGGGGAAUAACAAUGAGAAAUCAUUGCUAAUACCGCAUAUGCUAUAAGAUUCACAUGAAUCAAGUAGGAAAGGAGAAAUCCGCUGAUAGAUGAGCUUGCGUCUGAUUAGCUAGUUGGUGGGGUAAAGGCUUACCAAGGCGACGAUCAGUAGCCGAGCUGAGAGGCUCAACGGCCACAUUGGGACUGAGAUACGGCCCAG